CGGGACGGGUGAGUAAUGUCUGGGAAACUGCCUGAUGGAGGGGGAUAACUGCUGGAAACGGUAGCUAAUACCGCAUAACGUCGCAAGACCAAAGAGGGGGACCUUCGGGCCUCUUGCCAUCGGAUGUGCCCAGAUGGGAUUAGUUAGUAGGUGGGGUAACGGCUCACCUAGGCGACGAUCCCUAGCUGGUCUGAGAGGAUGACCAGCCACACUGGAACUGAGACACGGUCCAG
rnacentral:rRNA from 1 species